rnacentral:rRNA from 1 species
UACAGAGGGGGCGAGCGUUAUUCGGAAUUAUUGGGCGUAAAGGGCGCGUAGGCGGCCUUUCAAGUGACGGGUGAAAUCCCUCGGCUUAACCGAGGAACUGCCUGUCAGACUGGAAGGCUUGAGACCGGGAGAGGUGAGUGGAAUUCCCAGUGUAGCGGUGAAAUGCGUAGAUAUUGGGAGGAACACCAGUGGCGAAGGCGGCACUCUGGGCCGGAACUGACGCUGAGGAGCGAAAGCGUGGGGAGCGAACAGG